rnacentral:rRNA from 1 species
CGUAGGGUGCAAGCGUUAAUCGGAAUUACUGGGCGUAAAGCGUGCGCAGGCGGUUGUGUAAGACAGGUGUGAAAUCCCCGGGCUUAACCUGGGAAUUGCAUUUGUGACUGCACGACUAGAGUGUGUCAGAGGGGGGUGGAAUUCCACGUGUAGCAGUGAAAUGCGUAGAUAUGUGGAGGAACACCAAUGGCGAAGGCAGCCCCCUGGGAUAACACUGACGCUCAUGCACGAAAGCGUGGGGAGCAAACAGGAUU